rnacentral:rRNA from 1 species
AGUUGUAUCCUGGCUCAGAGUGAACGCUGGCGGCGUGCUUAACACAUGCAAGUCGAACGAGAACGGGUUAUAGUUUACUAUAACUGUCAGCUAAGUGGCGCACGGGUGAGUAAUAUAUAGGUAACGUGCCCUAGAGAAGAGGAUAACAAUUGGAAACGAUUGCUAAUACUCUAUAUGCCUUUAAGUCAUAAGACUGCAAGGGAAAUAUUUAUAGCUCUAGGAUCGGCCUGUACGGUAUCAGUUUGUUGGUGAGGUAAUGGCUCACCAAGACUAUGACGCCUAACUGGUUUGAGAGGAUGAUCAGUCACACUGGAACUGAGACACGGUCCAGACUCCUACGGGAGGCAGCAGUGGGGAAUAUUGCACAAUGGACGAAAGUCUGAUGCAGCAACGCCGCGUGGAGGAUGACACAUUUCGGUGCGUAAACUCCUUUUAUAUAGGAAGAUAAUGACGGUACUAUAUGAAUAAGCACCGGCUAACUCCGUGCCAGCAGCCGCGGUAAUACGGAGGGUGCAAGCGUUACUCGGAAUCACUGGGCGUAAAGAGCGUGUAGGCGGAUAGUUAAGUUUGAAGUGAAAUCCAAUGGCUCAACCAUUGAACUGCUUUGAAAACUGAUUAUCUAGAAUAUGGGAGAGGUAGAUGGAAUUUCUGGUGUAGGGGUAAAAUCCGUAGAGAUCAGAAGGAAUACCGAUUGCGAAGGCGAUCUACUGGAACAUUAUUGACGCUGAGACGCGAAAGCGUGGGGAGCAAACAGGAUUAGAUACCCUGGUAGUCCACGCCCUAAACGAUGUACACUAGUUGUUGUGAGGCUAGACCUU